rnacentral:rRNA from 1 species
CACUUCUAAGGAAGGCAGCAGGCGCGCAAAUUACCCAAUCCUGACUCAGGGAGGUAGUGACAAGAAAUAACAAUAAACCGGCUUAUGCCGGUUUAAUUGGAAUGAGUACAAUUUAAACAUCUUAACGAGGAACAAUUGGAGGGCAAGUCUGGUGCCAGCAGCCGCGGUAAUUCCAGCUCCAAUAGCGUAUACUAAAGUUGUCGCAGUUAAAAAGCUCGUAGUUGGAUUUCUGUGGGGACGGAGCGGCCGGCCGCACAUCGCGGUUCGAGCUAGCGCUUUCCCUACAUCCUGCCGCGAACCGUGCUACCAUUAGUUUGGUGGCGCCGGGGAUCGGCUCGAUUACUUUGAGAAAAAUAGAGUGUUCAAAGCAGGCCACAUGCCUUGAAUAAGUUAGCAUGGAAUAAUAACUAAGGACUUCGGUUCUAUUUUGUUGGUGUUCGGGACUGAAGUAAUGAUUGAUAGGGACAGUUGGGGCGGUCUGUAUUCCAAAGCGAGAGGUGAAAUUCUUAGACCUUCGGAAGACAAACUGCUGCGAAAGCGUUCCGCAAGGAUGUUCCCUUUGAUCAAGAACGAAAGUUGGGGGAUCGAAGACGAUCAGAUACCGUCGUAGUCUCAACUAUAAACUAUACCAGCUAGGGAUCGGCCAACGUUAUUCUAUACCGACUUGGUCGGCACCUUAUGAGAAAUCAAAGCAUCUGGGUUCCAGGGGGAGUAUGGUCGCAAGGCUGAAACUUAAAGGAAUUGACGGAAGGGCACCACCAGCCGUGGAGCCUGUGGCUUAAUUUGACUCAACACGGGAAAACUUACCAGGUCCAGACAUAGUAAGGAUUGACAGAUUGAUAGCUCUUUCUUGAUUCUGUGGGUGGUGGUGCAUGGCCGUUCUUAGUUGGUGGAGUGAUUUGUCUGGUUAAUUCCGUUAACGAACGAGACCCCAGCCUGCUAAAUAGCGCGCGUGAGCUUUGCUCGCGGCGAGCUUCUUAGAGGGACUCUGAUGCGCGAUAGCACAUGGAAGUUUGGGGCAAUAACAGGUCUGUGAUGCCCUUAGAUGUUCUGGGCCGCACACGGGCUACACUGGCGCCUGCAUCGAGCAUAUCAGCUGGCCCGAGAGGGUCUUGGCUAAUCUUUUGAACCGGCGCCGUGCUUGGGAUUGACCUUUGCAAUUGUUGGUCAUGCAACGAGGAAUGCCUUGUAAACGCGAGUCAUCAGCUCGCAUUGAAUACGUCCCUGCCCUUUGUACACACCGCCCGUCGCUCCUACCGAUGAAUGUUCCGAUGAAAUUUUCGGAGAGUGCCUGUGAACUUGGCUCUGCCUUGCGAACGGGAAGCUCAAAGUCACUUAAAUCUGAACAUUUCGA